rnacentral:lncRNA from 10 species
CGUCUCAGGGAAGUGUCCAAUGUCUAAUUAUCUGUGUCCUUAGGAGAAGACAGAAUGACUGAUGACAGAAGCACCUGCGAUCUUCUUCUUGUGCUGUGGGCUUCAGGGGAAUCCAAGAGUUCCUGGCAAAGAGGAUCUAAUGAAGACUGACAUUGAUCAAUAAAGGCAUGGGGUUAAAAGAGCAACAAUAAGAAUACCUUAAAGUUGUACUCAGAAGAUAGGAGCUAUCUCUGCUUCCUUUCAGAAACAUCAUUAUUACCUUGAAUCAGAGCCUGCCAGAAGCAUUUUGCACAACAAUUGUAAGAAGAGACUGAAACUUCAGAAACACUUUUACAGAUCUGCAUUUCCAAACAACAACCAAAACUGCUGGAUGCAAGGUGGCUGCUUACACUACAGACCUGUUACAUAUAUUCCAACCCCAUAAUGCUAGGGGUUUACAAGGAUAAUAUUUGUGAACUUUCACAUUCUAUGUAGCGGUCACAAUGAAGUCCUCUAAAGGCAUCCUUUGAUGGAAGCAAUUUGGACGUUUAUGAUGGCUCAAAGCAAGGUUCCAAGCAAUGAGACUACAUUAGUGUAGAUCACCAAUAUAAAUAGAACAGCUAUCAUAUCAUAUCAGUUCUGUCCACAGCACGUGAGUAGGAGAAGUUCUGAAAUAAGAUCAUCAGGAACAAAGAAAGGAGUAUUUCAGAAUAUAUUCAGUUGAUUCCAGAGGUAGCCAAUCCUGCUUGAUUGAAUGUUUGCAAAAUUCAAUUCUCUGUUUG